ensembl:snRNA U5 U5 spliceosomal RNA
UCUUUUCAGCUCGUAUAAAUCUUUCGCCUUCUACUAAAGAUUUCUGUGGAGAGG